rnacentral:rRNA from 1 species
AAUUUUGGACAAUGGGGGAAACCCUGAUCCAGCCAUCCCGCGUGUGCGAUGAAGGCCUUCGGGUUGUAAAUCACUUUUGGCAGGGAAGAAACAGCGCCGACUACUAUUCGGCGUGAAUGACGGUACCUGCAGAAUAAGCACCAGCUAACUACGUCCCAGCAGCCGCGGUAAUACGUCGGGUGCAAGCGUUAAUCGGAAUUACUGGGCGUAAAGGGUACGAAGGCGGCAUGGCAAGAAAGGUGUGAAAUCCCAGGGCUUAACCUUGGAACUGCACUUUUAACUGCCACGCUAGAGUAUGUCAGAGGGGGGUAGAAUUCCACGUGUAGCAGUGAAAUGCGUAGAUAUGUGGAGGAAUACCGAUGGCGAAGGCAGCCCCCUGGGAUAAUACUGACGCUCAGGUACGAAAGCGUGGGGAGCAAACA